GGUGGCUCAGUGGUAGAGCGCUUGCCUUCAAUGCCUGAGGCCCUGGGUUCGAUUCCCCAGCACCA
rnacentral:tRNA from 1 species